GGUCAAGCGGGUAAGGGCAUAUGGUGGAUGCCUUGGCAUCAAGGGCCGAUGAAGGGCGUGGUACGACUGCGAUAAGCCCCGGGGAGCUGUCUAGCAAGCCUAGCCGGGGAUUCCCGAAUGAGGCAACUCACUCAGGUAAAACCUGAGUACCCCCAGCUGAACACAUAGGCUGGGUGGAGGUAAGCAGGGGAAGUGAAACAUCUCAGUACCCUGAGGAAAGGAAAUUAUUCCCUGAGUAGUGGCGAACGAAAGGGGAAAAGCCCAAACCUGGUAAGCUUAGUGGCUCCGUGGCCUAUGCUUAUCGGGGGUUGUAAGGCAGGUAGGACCGAAUGCGGAAUAAGUCGAGGAGUUACCAACCAAACUUUAGUUGAAGGUCUCUGGAAAGGGCCACCACAGACGGUGACAGUCCGGUAAAUGAAAAGGGGAGGCUCCUUAUCUGUUCUUAAGUACCACGGGACACGUGAAAUC
rnacentral:rRNA from 1 species